ACUUAUGGCCAUGCCACCCUGAAAACACCCAAUCUCCUCUCACCUUGGAAGUCAAAUAGGGUUGGGCCUGGUCAGUUCUUGAGUGGGAGACUGUCUUGGAAUACCAGGUGCUGUAAGCU
rnacentral:rRNA from 1 species